AGGCUUUAUUUCAGCUGUUCCCACGGGCCCCGCCAGCCCCAGCGCUUCAUGGUCACGGGCUUGCAAAGCAGCAGGCAGCGGGAGUCCGGACCCGUUUGGCAAAGGAGGCUUGGAAGUGUCAUUUUUUAAGAAUGGGGAAUAGCCCACCUACUUCCAUGCGACUGUCUAAUGAUGCUACUUUGAACCAGAUCCAGGAAACUAUUUCAGACAACCGUGGUGAUUUUCUCUAAAACAAC